AUUGAACGCUGGCGGCAGGCCUAACACAUGCAAGUCGAACGGUAACAGGAAACAGCUUGCUGUUUCGCUGACGAGUGGCGGACGGGUGAGUAAUGUCUGGGAAACUGCCUGAUGGAGGGGGAUAACUACUGGAAACGGUAGCUAAUACCGCAUAACGUCGCAAGACCAAAGAGGGGGACCCUCGGGCCCCUUGCCAUCGGAUGUGCCCAGAUGGGAUUAGCUUGUUGGUGGGGUAACGGCUCACCAAGGCGACGAUCCCUAGCUGGUCUGAGAGGAUGACCAGCCACACUGGAACUGAGACACGGUCCAGACUCCUACGGGAGGCAGCAGUGGGGAAUAUUGCACAAUGGGCGCAAGCCUGAUGCAGCCAUGCCGCGUGUAUGAAGAAGGCCUUCGGGUUGUAAAGUACUUUCAGCGGGGAGGAAGGGAGUAAAGUUAAUACCUUUGCUCAUUGACGUUACCCGCAGAAGAAGCACCGGCUAACUCCGUG
rnacentral:rRNA from 1 species